UACGUAGGGUGCAAGCGUUGUCCGGAAUUAUUGGGCGUAAAGAGCUCGUAGGCGGUUUGUUGCGUCGGCUGUGAAAUCCCGAGGCUCAACCUCGGGUCUGCAGUCGAUACGAGCAAACUAGAGUGUUGCAGGGGAGACUGGAAUUCCUGGUGUAGCGGUGAAAUGCGCAGAUAUCAGGAGGAACACCAGAGGCGAAGGCGGGUUACUGGGCUGAUACUGACGCUGAUGCGCGAAAGCCAGGGGAGCAAACGGG
rnacentral:rRNA from 1 species